UACAGGGGGGGCAAGCGUUGUUCGGAAUUACUGGGCGUAAAGGGUUUGUAGGUGGCCGCUUAAGUCAGACGUGAAAUCCCUCAGCUUAACUGGGGAACUGCGUCUGAUACUGCGUGGCUUGAGUGCAGGAGAGGAACGCGGAAUUCCAGGUGUAGCGGUGAAAUGCGUAGAUAUCUGGAGGAACACCGGUGGCGAAGGCGGCAUCCUGGACCAAUAUUGACGCUGAGGAGCGAAAGCUAGGGGAGCAAACGGG
rnacentral:rRNA from 1 species